rnacentral:lncRNA from 1 species
GAGAAUGGGAAAAAAAAGAAAAAAAAAAUUCAAAGAACAUAAAAGAAAAAUUUUAAAUUACUCAAAAUGAAAAAAAUAUAAAGACCAAUUCUAUAAUUUAACCUAAAAUUUUCAUUUGAAAUGAUGGUUUAACAUGCCACGCCAGCUUAUCGUUAUACAAUUAAUGACAAUUAAUGCUCAAUGAAUAAAAUGUUACAAACUGAUAACGUAAGUGACUAAAACGUAACAUUUCAAACAUAAAUUACUAAAAUAUAACCUGAGACAAACAAAAGUUAUUAUUUUGAUAGUUUACCAUUAAUUUUAUUAUUAAAUCAUUUUUCUUUUAAAAAGUGGUUUAAUUAUUUCAAAGUUCCUUGAUUUGACUAGGUAAAUUUUUUCUUGCGAAACAAUGCCAUAUGAUAGUGUAUGAGUGGUCCACCUGUCAAAAGUUGUCACAAUUCAGUACUGUUAGAAGAAAAUACUACAUUAGUAUUUAGAAUUAAAGUACAAUUAUCAAAUUUGAACUUUUGAAAGUAGAGGUACUGUUUGACCCCCCCAAAAAAAAUGAUAUACACAUUAGAAAAUUUGAUAAAGUAUAAGUACUAACUAUGGAACUAUCCCAUUUUAGGAUAACACAACACUCUAAUAAGAACUUUAGGGAUUUUAUUUUUAUACUAAAGAUAAAGCAUUAUAGGUAAUAUACAAAAUAACUCUACACAAGCUCCACCCUAUUUUAUACUAAUUACUUUCAAUUUAAAAUUGUAGAUGUAUAGGAUUGAGUCUGCUACCCUAGCACGCAUGCGUCUGCCUCUCUAGCUUGUUCUUAGAUUUUUUUUAGGGGUUAUUUUGUUCAACGUUUAAUCUUGGUGGCGGCAAUAUAUUAGAAUCUCCUCUCAUCUUCCGGGAUAGCAUGCAUAAUGAGACUUAAAUCUCUAGCUUGCAAUCAUGGAAAAAGAAUUUGCCGAAUUAACGCUUGAUGAAGAAGAUGAAGCAAUUUUACAAGCACAAGUUGAGCCGAAUUUGGAAAAAGAAGAAAGAACUUUUCGCCCGGUGGGAUGCUUUUUAAAAACCAGCGUUAUUCACUUCCCAUUAAUGAAAAACACCAUGGCAAACCUAUGGUACCCAAUUAGAGGCGUUCAGAUCUGAGAUCUAGGAGAAAAAUGAUUUCUGUUUCAAUUUUUUCAUGCUAUGUAUAUGGACAGAGUUUUGAAGGGCUCUCCACAGACCUUUAAUAAUCACUUAUUGGUUCUACACACAUUACAGUGGGAGGAUCCAUUGAAAAUCCCUUUAAUCUUUUCGCCUUUUUGGGUAUAGAUCCAUGAUAUUCCAAUGGGGUAUUUUUCUGAAAGUUUGGCAAGGCAACUAGGUGAUUUUUUAGGCAAAUUUCUGGAGUAUGAUAGUUCAAAUCUGGGGAAAGGUAAUAAGAAUUUUAUGAGAAUUUGAGUUCAAUUGGAUGUCUGUCACACAUUAAAGAAGAAAAAGCAAGUUAUGUUCUCAGGGAACUGUUCAUAUGUCAAAUUCUAAUAUGAAAGCUGACUCUUUUCUGUUUCUAUUGUGGUCGGCUAGGUCACAGUGAUUCUUUUUGUGAGGCAAGAAUGGCGUUAGGGGUGGAAGCGACGAUGAUAGGCUGGGACUUGUCUUUACGAGCGCAAUCUAAAAGAGCUUUGGCAAUGAAUAGUAUCUGGUUACACAAAGAUAGAGAAGAUGGCACAUGUGGAAGUCUCUAUGGCGAACGCAAUUUAAAAUACAAGCCAUGGGGAAUAAGGACUAAGUCGAAAACUGGAGUAUCCAUCGACCCUGUCGUAGGGAUCAGUUUGGAAGGUAAUUUUUCGUCUUCUUCACAAUAGGGGGAAAUUUUAUUGGCCAACCAGACCCAUUUUGUAAUGGAACAUGAUAUGGAGGAAAAGGGUGCUAAUUGGAGGAGAAGGAAAAAAAAAAAGGCCUAGGGGGGAAAGUGAAGACCCAACAAUAAGAGAAGUAGGCAAUACUGCAAUGGUAAGAAAUAAGAGAAUGCUUGUAACACUCCUAACUCGUACCCAUUGUCGAAAUAGGGUUUCAGAGCAUUACCAAAACAUUUAGGACAUUUUUCCAUUAAUCUAUGUAAAUUACUAUUCAUUUACCAAAAUUAUCCAUAAUGUCCCUUGAUCGGGCCCUCAAGGCCUAAUACGAGCAUUAGAAUCAAAUCGGCACUUUCUGACACACGGCUUGAUAACAUGGGCAUGUGGCUAGGCUGUCCCCUGUACCUUAAUUUUACGAAACAGAAUGCUUAAAAUUGGGCACACGGGAAGAGACACGGGCGUGUGUCUCAGCCGUGUGUGCUACACGGCUUAGAACACGAACGUGUGUCUUGGGCAUGUGGCAUGGUCAUGUGUGCAAGUCAGAGAGUUAUAUGAGGUCAAACACGACCUCCAACACUGGCGUGUCCCAAGGUCACACGGGCGUGUCCCUUGGACCACACGGGCAUGUGAGCCUUGCACCUUGGAAAAAUUUUGUAAUUGUCUACCUAAGUGGACAAAAUGAAGCUAUUUCUAACUUCAUUUCUCUCCCAAAAUUUCACCCAAGACCUGCACUUGAAACGCACAACCAAUACCAACCAUUUCAAGCACUCAAAUUGGGUAAUUUCUAGUAUUCACAAGGCAUAUCACUACAAGCAUACAUGUUCACAACCUUACCUUAGUUUAACUUAAGCGUUCAUAACAUUGAUCACAUAUUCUUAACAUAACACAUGUGAAAUAUAUUCAUAUCAUAAUAAUCUACUUAGUCAUACCAAAAUGAGCCGUUACUAGCAAUUCCAAUGGCUAGGUUACAAAAUAACAUUUUCAAGCCACUAUUGGCCAAGUUGUCCUAUGCAUGUCAUUAUACUAAAAUGAUUUCUACUAAGUAUACCCAAAAUGACUAGUUGAUACUGUGACGAUGCUCCAGUGAUCUCCAACCCUUGCAAGUACUAUAAAACAGGGGAAAACAAAAUGGAGUAAGCAUUAAAUUGUUAAUAAGUUCGUAUAACAGACACUAAACUUACCAGUCUUGCUUAUUAAAUAUAGGCAUACAAUGUUAUGUUUCCAUCCAUUUGGCUAAAUUUCCUAAUCACAUACAUUCAAUCAAACAUGUUAGUCACCAAAAUCUUCAUAUCAUUCAAGUAGCAUAGAUGAGCUCAUCAAGCAAUAUUCUUCCAAGUCUUUAUCAUAUCAUCUGAAGACUUUCAUGCCAUGGCAAGAGUUAUAUGUCCAUUGAAUUAUUGAAUUCUGAUGGAUGCUUAAGUAGUACACUCGAAGUGCUCGAUUCAAUAAUCUGUCAAUUUCUUAUUCAAGGGUACCCAUUAGGGCACUUAACCAAGAAACACUUUCUCGAGCCACAUAUCGUAUAACAUGAUUACUAGUCCAGGCUAAACCCUGAUCAUAAUGUAUACUCGAGAGGUAUUAUAUCGGGAUUACCCGUCCGGGCUAAAUCCUUUCUAUAACAUGGUCAUUGGGAUUACUCCUCUGAGCUAAAUAUCAUCCGCAACAAAUGCAGGACCUUAUUAGUUUCGGGAAAGCGAAUAUAAUCAUCGGAAUUCAAUAUUCAAUCGGGACUUAACCCCUUUUUCAUCAUUUUAAGCAUAUACUAAAUUUCUCAUGAUAACAUUCAAGUACAUCAAUAUAAAUCACAUUCCAUACAACACAACAUUCAAUAAACAUAUUUACAUGCCGAAUUAAGUUACACGAACUUACCUCGACACUUGUUCGUGUAAAAAGUUUACUAAUCUGAAACUUUUUCUUUUCCUCAAAUUGGUGUUGUCCGGACAUAUAUAAAUGAAUUUAACUAUCAAUUUCACACAUUUCAUAUUUAAAUAGACUCAAUUUACGUCCUAGGCAAAAUUACCAUUUUGCCCCUAACUUUUCCAUAAAUUUUGAUUGUCCUUAGGCCCGAAAAAUGAAACUUGUGCAAAUUACUCCCUAUUCCAAGCCUAACCACGACCCCAUUACAAAUUUUCAGCACAUGUAUUCAAAAAAUUUUAAAAUUUUUCAUCAAAAUUUACAACUUUACAUUUUAGCCCCUAAAUCAUGUUUUCAUCAAAAUUUACUUUGUAAAAACUAUUUAUCUAUGAACAAACUUUUAUUUUCUAGCAUAAAUUUAUAAUUUUCAGCAUAUUCAUCCAUGACCCAAAUUUCAUACCUUGAUAAAUUUUCAAAUUAAUCCCAUAGAUAGAGAGAUUAGACUAUCUCAAUUUCAAAAAUAUAAAAAUCAUUAAAAACGAGACUUGAUUUCAUACCUUUUCAAGCUUGGUAAGUUGUCUUCCUCUCUUCUAAGGUUUCCAUGGAAAUUUUGGAGAAUAUGAUAUAAAAUUAGAUGAUUAUUUCUUUUUAUUUAAUUACCAUCUUUUAAUUUUAGUGAUUUUCAAUUUAGUCCCUUGCCUUUUCUAAUUUUUUCCUGGAUGAGUCAUCAAGAAAAAUUUACAUACUUUUCUUAAUGGUCUAAUUACCAUAUAAGGACCUCUAUAUUUAAAUUCCAUAGCUAUUUAAUCCUUAUAACUAUUAGAAUUUAACUUUUACAUUUUAUGUGAUUUAGUCCUCAUAAUUAAGCACUUAAUCGAUAAAUUUUGUAUCAAAAUUUUCACACAACAUGCCUAUUAUAAUACGAAUCAUAUAAUAAAGGGAAAGUUGACUACUCACAAUGAAAAUUUUAAGUUGAAAUGUUUGUGGUCUUCUUCAUACGUUGAAGAAAUAUAAUCCCCAGAUGGUCUUCUUCAUGGAGACAAAGAUAAACAAAAUUCAGAUGGAACAGGUGUGAAAAAGCUAUAGCCUUGCUAAUGGUAUUGAUGUGGAUCUCGAUGGAUCUAGAAGAGGUUUGUGUUUAGCUUAGAGAGGUGAUGCUACCAUCACACUUUAGUAUUUUUCAAAACGACACAUUAACAUGCUUAUUGAAGAUCCUAACGAUGAAGAAAAAUAGAUAUACAGGAUUUUAUGGUUCCCUUUACGCACAAGAUACGAUUGAAACAUGGAAUCUAUGAAAAAACCUAUAUACCAAUAAGGAACUCCCUUGGAUUGUUUGCAGAGAUUUUAAUGAAAUCAUGUACACCUUUGAAAAGAAGGGAAGGUUGCCUAGAGACAAGAAGAAUGGAAGUAUUUCGAAAUGUUUUAGAAGAUUGUCAUUUGAUGGAUGUGACGUAUUCUAGUAAUUGGUUUACUUUGGAAAGAAGAAAUUUACCAGAAACAAAUAUCCAAUAGCGUUUAGACAGAGGUAUGGCUAACAAGAAUUGGAUGUCUAUGUUCCCUAAAGCUACCAUUCAACAUCCGGUGCACUCGAUCUCUAACCAUUGUCCUCUUCUAAUACGAAAAGAGAAAACAAUAGGAGUUGGAAAACAUUUAAAUGCGAGGCAUGGUGGGUCUUGGAGGAGUCAUUCGAUGCUGAAGUUAAACUCAUUUAGGAAACGGUAUCAGGAGGUCUACUGCAGAAGCUAGAUUGUCUAAAAAAAGGCUUUAAGAUAUGGGCUGUACACAUUUGUCUGUCUAGAAAACAGAAAAAAGAAUUUUUAUCCUCAAAGUUGGCUGAGUUGAUGGAAAUCGAAAGGAGUGAUAAUAAUUUACCAGAGCUGAUUGAUACAAAGUUCCAAUUGAAUUUUGAGAUUAAGAAAGAUGAAAGAUAUUGAUAGCAAAGAGCUCAAGUUAAUUGACUGAAAUUUGGGGACAAAAAUAUAGCCUUUUUCCAUAGUCAAGCAACACAAAGACGAAGGAUAAAUUGUAUUUGAAAAUUACAGAAUGACUGAAAGGGAAACGAAUGAUAUACAAGAAAUGGCAGAAAUUGCUAGAUCCUAUUUCCAAAAUUUAUUUAAGGUUAGGGAAAAAGGGCAUUAUGAACAUCUCUUAUCGAGUAUUGAACGUUGUAUAUCUGAAGAGGAUAAUCAAAGACUCACGACAUAAUAUACAAAGGAAGAGGUUUUGGGAGGCGUUUACUAGAAUGGGGCCUACAAAAGCACUGGGUGAAGAUGGGUUUCCGGCCUUAUUUUUUCAAAAAUGCUGGCAUAUCAUUGGGGAAGAGGUCACACUUUUCUGUCUUCAACAUCUAAACGAAGGUAUGGAGGUUAGUCCAAUUAAUACUACUCAUAUUUUGCUUAUUCCUAAAAGAGCAAAUCUGACCAACCUUACUCAUUUUCGUCCCAUUAGCUUAUGCAAUGUUAUUUAUAAAAUAAUGGAAAAGGCUAUUGCUGAUCGAUUUAGAGAAGUCUUAGAAAAAUGCAUCGAAUGUGCACAGAGUGCUUUUGUGCUAGGAAGGUUAAUCUCGAAUAAUGUAUUAUUGGCAUAUGAAAUUUUACACACUCUAAAACAGAAAAAAAUUUGGAAAACAAGGGUUGAUGGUAGUAAAACUCGAUAUGAGUAAAGCGUAUGAUAGGGUCGAAUGGAAUUUUGUAUAGUAGAUGAUGAUGAGAAUGGGUUUUGACCCUAGCUGGAUUACUUCUAUUAUAAAGUACGUAUCUACUAUUUCUUAUUCAGUGGUACUUAAUGGUCAAGUUGGGGAAAAUUUUCAACCAAUGAUAGGAUUAUGGUAAGGUGAUCCUUUGAGCCCGUUUUUAUUUCUGAUAUGCAGAGAAGUCUUAUCUUGUCUUAUAAGACUGGCACUUCAAGAAGGGGCUACAAAUAUCAAAUUUGUUAUUCGCUGAUGAUUGCAUUUUAUUUGGAGAGGCUACUGAAAAGGGAGCUUGUUUAUUAAAAAUAAUUUUACGCGAGUAUGGAACCUGUUCAGUUCAUUGCGUCAAUUUUGAUAAGUCAACUGCUUUCUUUAGCACUAAUACACAGGAGAAAGAAAGACGAUUAGUUUCUCGCAUACUCAAAGUACGAAGCUUAAUUGACCCAGAACAUUAUCUUAGAAUUACCUAAUAUGGUGGGCAGAAGGAAGAAAGAGUCUUUUCAAAACUUAAAGGAAAAAUUUAAGCAAUGAAUUGACAACUAGAGUAUUCGACAUCUCUCUCAAGGUGGGAAAGAAGUUUUUAUUAAGGCCACUCUUCAAGUUAUUCUGACAUAUACAAUGGCCUUUUUUUUACUACCUAAAUAUUUGUGUGUUGAUCUUGAGAGUAUUAUUACGAAAUUUUGGUGGCAGAAGGAUUGUGGCAAAAGGGCAUUCAUUGAUGUGCUUAGAAGGAUCUUUGCAACGUAAAAGAAAAUGGGAGUUUGGGGUUUUGAAAUCUUGGUCAAUUUAAUAUUGCUUUAAUAGCCAAGUAAAGUUGGCACCUUAUUAAUUUUCCAUAUUCUUUAUUAGCAAAUGUCUUAAAAGCCAAAUACUACCCAAAUUUAGACUUUAUCAAUGCAUAGUUAGGGAAUUUACCUUCGCUUACCUAGAAGAGUGUUUGGGCAGCAAACGGGUUACUGACAUAUAGCUUAUGUUGGUGAGUCGGUAGGGGAGAUCAUAUAUCUGUUUGGAGUGAUCGGUGGGUACCAGGAGUUGUUACAGAGAGAAUCAAUAAUAAUUCCAACAUUGUAGAAGAAAAGUUAGUUUCGGAUUUAAUUGAUGCUUCAACAAGAAAAUGGAAGACAGAUCUAAUAGUUAAUACCUUUCAAGUGGAUAUAGCACAAAAGAUUUUGCAAAUUCCUCUAGCGGAAGAAGAACAUGAUGAUUUCCAAGUCUGGCGAGGAGAACAUCCUGACGAAUUUUUAGUCAGAAGUGCCUACAAACUAUUGCAACAGGCUAAUAUGGAUCCUAAUACUUAUUAAAUACAGGCCAAAAGAAAAAAUUUCUACAGAAAGCUAUGGAAUUUACAUCUCCGAUCAAAAAUUGCUAUCACUAUAUAGCGUAUUUCCUGGAACUUUAUUUCUACUCUAACAAAUCUCAGAUUAAAAAGAGUGACUGCAGAUAUUUCCUGUUCUCGGUGUCGAAAUGCGGAAGAAGAUAGCAACCAUGUUUUCAGACAAUGUUCAACAGCAACAGAGACAUGGCAAAAUCUAAAUCUAUCAUGGGUCAUUAAUACUAAUAUUCAAGAUUUGUAGGAAUGGCUUACUUAGGUCUUCACCAUGGGUAACAACAAAAAAUGUUGACUCUUUUGAUGUGCUGUUUGGACAAUAUGGAGUUCAAGAAACCAGUUAAUUCACGAGGGGAAAAUAACAACAGGAAGAGAUUUAUCGAAUUGAAUCCAAAGUUAUAUACCAGAGAUUGAUGGGUUAGAAGAAAAACCACUUACCUCAAAUGAUGGUAGAAGACAGAGACAGGAAGAAAGAAAUGCAAGAGUAGCUAUUUAUUUUGAUGCAUCUUACGACGGUGAAUAUUCUAGAUCGGCCUCGGGUCUAGUGGUGUCAGGGGAGAUGGGUAAGUUUUUAGCCUCGAAGACAAUCCUCCAUUCCACAAUAUCGUCUCUGUUCAUGGCAGAGGCACAUGCAGGGUCACAAGCAUGAAGUUAGGGAUUUCAAUGGGUUUUCAAUUAGUAGAUAGCAUAAGAGAUUCAAAAACGGUCACAAAGAAAUGUAACUCAGCAAAGACAGACAAAUCAGUUAUAGGGGUGAUUAUCCAAGACAUUCAAAGUAAAAAACAACACUUCCAAGAAAUCAAUUACUUCUAGUUUGUUCAAAGAUCAGGAAAUGGUUAUGCCCACGAACUUGCAAAAGAAGCAUUAAGAAAAGGAGAAGAAAAGUACCUGGAGGGAGUAGAUUUCGUCCAUCUUCAACGCAAACAAGAGGAAAGAUGGCCGAGACAUCCAGAUUGAAGAGUCCUCAUAGGAAAUCUGAAUCUGAAGAGAUAAGGAUAGCAGAAAUGAAAGCUUUUUUGAAACUUGCUAUCAGUUGAAGUGCUGGUAUAGAGAUUCGAAAAGACUGAUAAUUAAUGGGUACCAGCUAUUGACAAUGACUGGAUUAG